GCCGGAGUGGUGGAAUUGGUAGACACCAGGGACUUAAAAUCCCUUGCUCCAAAAGGGGCGUGCCGGUUCGAGUCCGGCCUCCGGCACCA
rnacentral:tRNA from 1 species